UACGAAGGGGGCUAGCGUUGCUCGGAAUCACUGGGCGUAAAGGGUGCGUAGGCGGGUUUUUAAGGCAGGGGUGAAAUCCUGGAGCUCAACUCCAGAACUGCCUUUGAUACUGAAAAUCUUGAGUCCGGGAGAGGUGAGUGGAACUGCGAGUGUAGAGGUGAAAUUCGUAGAUAUUCGCAAGAACACCAGUGGCGAAGGCGGCUCACUGGCCCGGUACUGACGCUGAGGCACGAAAGCGUGGGGAGCAAACAGG
rnacentral:rRNA from 1 species